AUGCAUCCUUCCAUACAAAGGAUCUUUUUAGAGUUUUCAAAUAUUGAGCAUUCUUCUGUUAAGCGUGUUGCCACUAUAUUUCUAGAUCAUAAGUUCAGAUUUAUUAUGAAAGAAGCUAGUGAAAUUUUUGCGUAUUAUAAAGUAGAUGGUGGUCGUCCUGCCAUAGAGGGAAUUGUUUUUAAUCAAGAGGACAUAAUGCAUUUACGAUCUCUAGAUCAUGUUGCUUAUAAUGAAAAUUUCAGAAAGAGAGUCCCUACUGAUGUUUUAGUUCAUAAGAUUUUUGAGCUUAAUGAUAAUUUUGCUAUACAAAACAACAUAUUGGGUUUCUAUCUAGGACACAAGCUCAUGAAUUUUUUCCAAAAGAAUGCUUAUAAUGAUGAGUUGGUCAUACAAUAUGAAGGGCCGAAGGAGGAACCAAUUCCUCCUGAGAUUGACCUUGGGGAUUCUUAUCCUAUUAAAUUUAGCCCUUUUGAUUACUUUUGUUUACCUCAAAGAAAACUUUCUGCUGAAUGA
rnacentral:rRNA from 1 species